UUCCCCGUGGGCGCGUGGUAUUCCUGGUGGCUGGGCAGCGCCCCCAGCCCACCCGCAGCGCGAGGGCCGUGCUGCGGUUACCCCAGCUGCGGGAGGCGAGGGGGCGCAAGACCCGACGCCCCGCCCCGUCCCUGGAAGCCCCGCCCACCCGGACCCCCGCCCCGCCCUCCCUGCCUCCCGCGCCGCUGCCGCCGCUGCUGCCGCGGGGUGGCUGGGCUGCGGUGGGCGCAGCUGGGGCGCGGCUCCGAGCCGAAGCUAGGGCAACGCGCCAGGCCCGAAGCCGAGCGGGGCUGGGCCACCCCCGCCGCGCCUGCUUGCCCGCCCGGGAUGCGGCGCUGAGGCCCAGCAUGGCCGGCCCGGGUCCCACCUUCCCGCUGCACCGGCUCGUCUGGGCAAACCGGCACCGUGAACUGGAGGCCGCGCUGCACAGUCGCCAGCACGACAUUGAACAGGAGGACCCCCGAGGUCGGACCCCCCUGGAACUGGCUGUGUCCCUGGGGAACCUGGAAUCUGUGAGAGUCCUCCUUCGACACAAUGCCAACGUGGGCAAAGAGAGCCGCCAGGGCUGGGCAGUCCUGCAGGAGGCAGUCAGCACUGGAGACCCAGAGAUGGUGCAGCUGGUGCUCCAGUACCGAGACUUUCAGAGGGCCACUCAGAGGCUAGCUGGCAUUCCAGAGUUGCUCAACAAACUCCGCCAGGCACCUGAUUUCUACGUGGAGAUGAAGUGGGAGUUCACCAGCUGGGUGCCCCUUGUGUCCAAGAUGUGUCCAAGUGAUGUGUACCGCGUGUGGAAGCGGGGGGAGAACCUGCGGGUGGACACCAGUCUCCUGGGGUUUGAGCACAUGACCUGGCAGCGUGGCCGGAGAAGCUUCAUCUUCAAGGGCCAGGAGGCAGGAGCCCUGGUGAUGGAAGUGGACCAUGACCGGCAGGUGGUGCACACGGAGACACUAGGGCUCGCUCUGCAUGAGCCUGAAGCACUGCUGGCCGCCAUGCGGCCCAGCGAGGAACAUGUGGCCAGUCGCCUCACCUCCCCUAUCGUCUCCACCCACCUGGACACUCGCAAUGUGGCCUUUGAGAGGAACAAGUGUGGCAUCUGGGGAUGGCGGUCGGAGAAGAUGGAGACUGUCAGCGGCUACGAGGCCAAGGUGUACAGUGCCACCAACGUGGAGCUGGUGACACGCACACGCACGGAGCACCUCUCUGAUCAGGACAAGUCGAGGAGCAAAGGGGGGAAGACUCCGUUCCAGUCCUUCCUGGGGAUGGCCCAGCAGCACUCCUCCCACAGUGGGGCUCCUGUGCAGCAGGCAGCCAGCCCCACCAACCCUACAGCUAUUUCCCCCGACGAAUACUUUGACCCCAGCUUCAGCCUGGAGUCCAGAAACAUCGGGCGCCCCAUCGAGAUGUCCAGCAAAGUACAGAGGUUCAAGGCCACACUGUGGUUGAGUGAGGAGCAUCCCCUUUCCCUGGGUGACCAGGUGACGCCCAUCAUUGACCUGAUGGCCAUCAGCAAUGCUCACUUUGCCAAGCUACGUGAUUUCAUCACCCUGCGCCUCCCACCUGGCUUCCCCGUCAAGAUCGAGAUACCCCUCUUCCACGUGCUGAAUGCCCGCAUCACCUUUAGCAACCUGUGCGGCUGUGACGAGCCCCUGGGCUCCGUGUGGGUGCCUGCCCCCAGCGCUGCCGUGGCCGCUUCAGGGAGCCCUUUCCCGUGUGAGGUAGACCCCACCGUGUUUGAGGUGCCCGAGGGGUACAGCGUGCUGGGCGCAGAGCGCAGCGAGCCCCUCCGAGACGAAGAUGAUGACCUGCUGCAGUUUGCCAUCCAGCAGAGCCUGCUUGAGGCGGGCACAGAGGCUGAGCAGGUGACUGUCUGGGAAGCCCUGACCAACACGCGUCCCGGCACUCACCCUCCUCCGCAAGACGCGGUGUAUGAGGAGCAGCUUCAGCUGGAGCGGGCUCUCCAGGAAAGCCUGCGGCUGUCCACAGAGUCCAGGGGUCCAGGAUCCCCUCAGAGGACACCCCCAUCCCCUGUCCCUCCGAGCUUUGAGGAGCAACUGCGACUGGCCCUGGAGUUGUCUUCUCGGGAGCAGGAAGAGCGGGAGCGGCGGGGACAACAGGAGGAGGAGGACUUACAGCGGAUCCUGCGGCUGUCGCUCACUGAGCACUGAGCCGCCAGGUCCUGGGAGAAUGUCCCAAGACACUCCCUCCACCUGCUUUUCUUUUGUGAGCCUCCAUUUCUUUACCUGUCAGUGAGGAGACCACUUCUACCCCCAACACACCUGUCAGGCCUACAGAGCAGGUACUGCAUAAACAAUUCCCCUGAGCCCUGCCCCACUUACUGCAGACCCAGGUUCCUCCUGCCAUCAGCCCUGGCCUUCCUGAAACCCGGCCCAUACUCUGGAAAAAAGAGGAAAGGCCGGGUCUCCAGACCUACUCAGCCCCCAUUUCCUACCCUGACUCUAGCUUGUGCCAUCAGAGUGACUUUGGGCAAGUCACUUCCCUCUGCAGCUGUAAAACAGGCUUAUCCCUGCCCGCCUCCAAGUUGGAACUGAGAAAGUGUCGGGAGCUUCCUGGGCAAUUUCUGCAUCCAACCGCAUUUCUCUGGAAACUCGCGCCUCCCAAAUAUCCAUGCAAAGUGGAGGCGUGAAGGCCAAGCAGAAAAAAGGAAUGUUUGGGGUGGAAUUCCUC